ACUAUAGAGCAGAGCCGAUCAACAAAUAUCUCUUAACGCUCCUCGGCUUCAUCUUCCUCUUCCUCUCUCCCUCAAGUCUGUGUUUCAUUUGGCCAUGUUUUGGAUCUCUAUUUCUUGAUCUGGGCAUCAAAGGUUUCUUCUUCAUAUUCAAGUUUUGGCCUUGAAACUCUUCGUUUUUAUCUGCGUUUACUAAUGUUUGCUGCACAAAUCCACUGAUAAUGGAAAACCCAUCUGGUUGGUUGUCCCUUUUGAGUUCCUUGUUUAGUUUGGAUGAGUUAAAGCAAUGGGUUUCUUGUUGAUGAUGCGAAGAUACUUUGUUUAAUACAAGGCAUGGGAGUUUCUCGAAGUUUAGAGGUCUGGAAAUUAGGCACUGUUAACUACUUAAAAGCUCUUAAGCUGCAGGAGAAAUUGUUUUCUGAUAGGAAAGUUAAUAAGAUUUCAGAUACUCUCUUGUCCCUGCAACAUCCCCCGACAUAUACUGUUGGCAAUCGAAGGACUGUUCACAAUUUACUGAUUCCUGAGUCCGAGUUGAGGAAAAUAGGAGCUGAACUUCACUACACUCGAAGAGGAGGAGACAUUACUUACCAUGGUCCACAUCAAGCCAUCUUAUAUCCCAUCAUUUCUCUUCGUGAUAUCAAACUUGGUCUUCGGGAUUAUGUUAGGAAACUUGAGUUAACCAUGGUCGAAUCGGCGUCUUUGUAUGGGGUGAAAGCUUGUGCUGGACAGAGUGGUGAAACGGGAGUUUGGGUGGAAGAUAGAAAAAUUGGUGCUACUGGAGUUCAUGUAGCUCAUGGGAUCACUUCGCAUGGAUUGGCAUUCAACAUUGAUCCUGAUAUGAACUAUUAUAAGAACAUUGUGCCUUGUGGGAUUGCGAAUAAGGAAGUUACGUCUUUGAGAAGGGAAACCAUUAUUUCGCUUCCUGCUGACGAAGUAAUUCACGAGCAGUUGAUUACUUGUUUUGCAAGAUUAUUGGGCUAUACUGAUAUUAUUUGGAAGGAGAAUCCUGUGAUGCUGUCAUAGACCCAAAAGUUGAGGAAUAUAUGAAUCCUUCCGCAUCAUAAAGGAUGUGAAUUGCGGAAUGAAUGCGACCAGUAUAUGCCAGCUACAAAGUGGAAAGGAUGCCUGAUGAUGAAAUUGCUGUUUUCACAAUCCUUUCUUCACGCCUUCAUUUCGGUAAAGACGUUAAGAGUCUAAGACUUUAUUUCAAAAGAUUGACUGUGUGUUCUAUUUUUAGGAUUUUUCGACUUGGGGAAAACUGGAAAUUGGGCUUUGGAUUGAA